GAUGAACGCUGGCGGAGUGCCUAACACAUGCAAGUCGAGCGGCAGCGCGAGUAGUUUACUACUUGGCGGCGAGCGGCGGACGGCUGAGUAACGCGUGGGAACAUGCCCCAAAGUGAGGAAUAACUGCCCGAAAGGGUAGCUAAUGCCGCAUAUGAUCUUCGGAUUAAAGGAUUUAUCCGCUUUGGGAGUGGCCUGCGUACGAUUAGAUAGUUGGUGAGGUAAAGGCUCACCAAGUCGACGAUCGUUAACUGGUUUGAGAGGAUGAUCAGUCAGACUGGAACUGAGACACGGUCCAGACUCCUACGGGAGGCAGCAGUGAGGAAUCUUCCACAAUGGGCGAAAGCCUGAUGGAGCAACUCCGCGUGCAGGAUGAAGGCCUUCGGGUUGUAAACUGCUUUUAUGAGUGAAGAAUAUGACGGUAACUCAUGAAUAAGAGUCGGCUAACUACGUG
rnacentral:rRNA from 1 species